GGUGUAGGCGGCCUUUCAAGUCGAAUGUAAAAUUUCCCGGCUUAACUGGGAAGGACCAUUCGAUACUGUUGGGCUAGAGGGCAGCAGGGGGAGGUGGAAUUCCCGGUGUAGUGGUGAAAUGCGUAGAUAUCGGGAGGAACACUCGUGGCGAAGGCGGCCUCCUGGGCUGUUACUGACGCUCAGGCCCGAAAGCGUGGGGAGCGAACAGGAUCAGAUACCCUGGUAGUCCACGCUGUAAACGAUGGGUACUGGAUAUGGGGGGGUAUCGACCCCCUCCGUGUCGAAGUUUACACGUUAAGUACCCCGCCUGGGGAGUACGGCCGCAAGGCUAAA
rnacentral:rRNA from 1 species